GAAUAAUAGGCCAUGUAUUAUUUUUCCAAGGUGAUUACUCCAACACUGGUCGUGGGCAUGCUCGAGGGGUUGGUGGCAACAAGACUGAAGGUGGAAUAUGCCUACUACAGUUUUGUUUGGGAACCUUAGGCUCUUCAUCCAUACAUAGGGCCAUCAGGGGGUGUUGUGCUCUGUUGACGAUGAGGGGGAUCUGCGUUUGUCUUUUCUUUUUUAAAUCUGCCCAAACUUCUGUUUUUCUUACAGGCUCGUACACAUCAGCGCGGUUGUACAUGAUGGUUGAAUGUUGAUGUACUGUACGGUCUUGACUCAAUAAAGUGUUUUUUCUCUCUCUAUCUCUCUCUCCUCCCUUCCUUCUCCCCAUUUCAUCUAUCUCUGUCUGGUGAGGGCUUUUCAGUUGUACCAACACAGUAUAUCACCACAAGCUAGGGGUCCAACCCAGUGUUGGCAAACACUUCCAUUUCUUCCCCAUGAAACUUUUUCAAAAGGAAGAAAUCAUCAAUCCAGUCCUACAAUUGCUCAGUGCCCUCUAUCUGACCCUGAGGCAUCAAUUUUAAAUGGAUUUUUUAAAAAUUGUUGGACAUAAGACUGUAAAAACACCAGGAAAUCAGCUCCAAGUGAUUUUAAUUUUGGAAAUCCUCCCAAGUAUUCCCACGCAUAAUAGAGAGACGUGAUCGUGUACAAAUGUUAGCAAGGUUAGAAAUGAUUAUGUUUCAGUCAAAUAUUCUAUCUGUUUGUCUACGCGGCUGAAUCUCGUUGAUAAUCCCUGGGCCAGAUUCUCUUCUGAACAACGAGAUCAGUGAGCAAGGAAACCCAAACACGACACCGCCUUCUUUUACAAACCUCUCAGCGCCGCACCCCGCAGCACAGCGGAAGCCUGCUUACUUGUUUGAUGCAUGCUUAAACCAACAUCCAAACGGCAUAGUUUGAUUUCUUUGAACUGUGCUUCUGCUGCUCAGAUCAUGCUUCUACGCUACAGUCGAGAUGAUGGGGCCUACCACCUGCAAUGUCAUAACCGAGGAUGGCACCGUGGUGAGACUUCAAAGGGCUCGAGUGCUGCAGCGGGGCUCCCGGUGGCGUUCUAAGGCAUCUCAGUGCUCGAGUGCUGCAGCGGGGCUCCCGGUGGCGUUCUAAGGCAUCUCAGUGCUCGAAGCAUCACUACGAGACAAUGGUUCCAUUCCAAGCUGUAUCACAACCAGAUGUGAUUGGAAGUCCCAUAGAGCGGCGCACAAUUGGCCCAGCGUUGUUCAUGUUAGGGUUUGGCCGGGAAAUUGGAGACAAUUCAAUGGAUAUGAAAAUCAACAGAGGUAAACAGACGAGGAGGCAUGCAAAGAUUUCACCUCUGAUGAAUAUAACAGGAAAGCUGUUUGAUCACCAUGCACUGCAAAAUCAUUCUGUCUAUGGAUACGGAGAACAUCAACACAUUAACAUCAACACGCCAGAAGAUAAACCCAUUGGACUUGGGGCUCUGCUGGGAGUUUACCUCAUAUUUAGAAUAGUUUAUUCUGCUUUGCCACUAAAAUCAUAAUAAACACUGACAAUUCAAACAUGGCGUUAUUGUUAAAGCUAUGACGAAUUCUCAUUACUAAGAAAGUGGAAAUAAUGCAGAAUCUUGGUGUUUAGUAUUGAUCAAUGUUACUCCUCAUCUCUCCACUAUGAUCGUAGAUGUGAGGUGAGUGUUUGGUUGCAAAAUGGUGCUACACAUUGGAGGCAGAGGAGGUUGGCACUUUGAGAUGUAAGUGAA